GUUUUAUUAAAAAUCCUUUAAUGGCCAUGGAUCACAAAUACACAAACCAUAUGCAAAGUUAAAAAUAAACUCUAUGCAACAUAUACAACAAUUAUUGGCACACAAAACCUGUAUAAAAAAGUGAAUUAAACACAAUGCAGACAAUGUUCCUUCCAUAUUAGACCUUGGUUUGGCAGAUACAAGCAGUGGUUACCCAAACUUAUAAAAACAGGAUAAAAAAAAAAAAGAUUAAACCAGGAACAGAAACCUGAGAGGGGAGUUUCACAAUGAGACACAGCCUCUAAUUAAAUGUAAUUAUAAAAGCUUUUCAGUUUGAAUUGUAUUUGGCUUGGACUGAAUUGAAUCUGGACUAACAGACUUAAUAUUUACUCUUGGCUACACAAAUUCAUCUUGAAAUAAAGGCACAUUAAAAAUAUAGCACAGUACUGGAAUUCACUCAUGUCACAACUGACCUACAGUGUCCUAUAAAAUACCAGAAAUCCUGUCACUGCACAAAACGCCAUGGCUCCAAAGUACACAGUCGAACAGUAACAUUUAAACAGUAUGAAGUACAGUUUGUGAAUAAAUCUGCACACUGGAAAAUAGCUGAUACUUCCAAAAUAUUCUCAUAAGUCACAUUUUCAGUCAAAAGCAGUAGGUAUUAUUUUUUUAAAAAGCUUCAUUUAGUGCAGCAGAUUCAUGGAUGAAACACCAGUGACAUAUUUUAAGCUCUUAAAAGUACAUAUUUACACGAACACAGACAAACGCGACAUAUUAACUUUAUCAAAUCAAUGAUGAAGAGCUUCCUUUAGCGACAGUGACCUUUGACCCAUUCAGAGAGUAUGAUACAUAGAGUCAAAUAAGGAAGUGUUUAUUUGUGCGAGUAGCUCCAGAGCACAGUCUGUUUCCCAGGAGGAGAAAAGGGAAAGGUCUGAGUGUUGCUUUACAAACAUUCGUCUUUGUUCUUCUAAAUUACAGUAAAGCCUCAUUCCAGGGUCGUGUCUAAACCAUUUGAUCAGCUGGAAAGAAAAGUGAAUGAGUACAAAUGUGUCUGACAGCAACACAAUAUAAUAUAAUAUACAGUGGGGCAGAAAAGUAUUCAGCCAGUCACCAAUUGUGCAAGAACUCCCACUUAAAAAGAUGAGACGCCUGUCAUUUUCAUCAUAGUUUCAGUUCAACUAUGAGAGACAGAAUGGAGGGGGAAAGAAUCCAGGAAAUCACAUUGUCUGAUUUCUUUUAAAAAUAUUAGCAAAUUAUGGUGCGAAAUAAGUAUUUGGUCAAUAACAAAAGUUCAUCUCAAUACUUUGUUGUAUUCCCUUCGUUGGCAGUGACAGAGGUCAAAUGUUUUCCUUAAGUCUCCAGAGGUCAAAUGUUUUCGUUAAGUCUCCAGAGGUUUUCACUGUUGCUGUAGUUUGGUCCAUUCCUCCUGCAGAUCUCCUCUAGAGCAGUGAUGUUUUGGGGCAACACGGACUUUCAACUCCCUCCAAAGAUUUUCUAUGGGGUUGAGAUCUGGAGACUGGGCCACUCCAGGACUUGGAAAUGUUUCUUACGAAGCCACUCCUUCGUUGCCCGGGCGGUGUGUUUGGGAUCAUUGUCAACCUGAAAGACCCAGCCAUGUUUCAUCUUCAACGCCCUCGCUCAUUCUUUCCUUUACACAGAUCUGUCAUCCUGGUCCCUUUGCAGAAAAAAAACGUCCCAAAGCAUGAUGUUUCCAUGAUGUUAUUUUGUUUCAUCUGACCAUGUGACAUUCUCCCAAUCCUCUUCUGGAUCAUCCAAAUGCUUCUAUCAAACUUCAGACGGGCCUGGAC
ensembl:lncRNA